UACAGAGGUCUCAAGCGUUGUUCGGAUUCAUUGGGCGUAAAGGGUGCGUAGGCGGCGCGGUAAGUCGGGUGUGAAAUCUCGGAGCUUAACUCCGAAACUGCAUUCGAUACUGCCGUGCUUGAGGACUGGAGAGGAGACUGGAAUUUACGGUGUAGCGGUGAAAUGCGUAGAUAUCGUAAGGAAGACCAGUGGCGAAAGCGGCUUCCUGGACCAGUACCGACGUUCAGGCACGAAAGCGUGGGGAGCAAACAGG
rnacentral:rRNA from 1 species